rnacentral:rRNA from 2 species
AAACCAACAGGGAUUACCUUAGUAACGGCGAGUGAAGCGGUAAAAGCUCAAAUUUGAAAUCUAGCACUUUCAGUGUUCGAGUUGUAAUUUGAAGAAGGUAUCUUUGGAGUUGGCCCCCGUCUAUGUUCCUUGGAACAGGACGUCACAGAGGGUGAGAAUCCCGUGCGAUGGGGAGACCAAUUCUAUGUAAAGUUCCUUCGAAGAGUCGAGUUGUUUGGGAAUGCAGCUCUAAGUGGGUGGUAAAUUCCAUCUAAAGCUAAAUAUUGGCGAGAGACCGAUAGCGAACAAGUACAGUGAUGGAAAGAUGAAAAGAACUUUGAAAAGAGAGUGAAAAAGUACGUGAAAUUGUUGAAAGGGAAGGGCUUUUGAUCAGACUUGGUGUUUAGUACUCUCUACUCCUUGUGGGUGGGGCUCUUGCUUUAUACUGGGCCAGCAUCGGUUUGGAUGGUAGGAUAAUAGCAUUGGAAUGUGGCUUCAUUCGUGAAGUGUUAUAGCCUUUGUUGAUACUACCUAUCUAGACCGAGGACUGCGUCUUUUGACUAGGAUGCUGGCGUAAUGAUUAAAAGCCGC